rnacentral:rRNA from 1 species
UACGGAGGGUGCAAGCGUUGUUCGGAAUCACUGGGCGUAAAGGGCGUGUAGGCGGCCUGUUAAGUCUGAUGUGAAAUCCCCUCGCUCAACGAGGGAACUGCGUCGGAAACUGGCAGGCUCGAGUACCGGAGAGGAAGGUGGAAUUCCCGGUGUAGCGGUGAAAUGCGCAGAUAUCGGGAGGAACACCGGUGGCGAAGGCGGCCUUCUGGACGGAUACUGACGCUGAUACGCGAAAGCGUGGGGAGCAAACAGG